UACAGAGGGGCAAGUGUUAUUCGGAAUUAUUGGGCGUAAAGGGCGCGUAGGCGGCCAUUCAAGUGACGGGUGAAAGCCCUCGGCUUAACCGAGGAACUGCCUGUCAGACUGGAUGGCUUGAGACCGGGAGAGGUGAGUGGAAUUCCCAGUGUAGCGGUGAAAUGCGUAGAUAUUGGGAGGAACACCAGUGGCGAAGGCGGCUCACUGGACCGGAACUGACGCUGAGGCGCGAAAGCGUGGGAGCA
rnacentral:rRNA from 1 species